AUUGAACGCUGGCGGCAGGCCUAACACAUGCAAGUCGAACGAGUGGCGGACGGGUGAGUAAUGUCUGGGAACCUGCCUGAUGGAGGGGGAUAACUACUGUAAACGGUAGCUACUACCGCAUACCAUCGGAUGUUCCCAGAUGGUAUUAGCUAGUAGGUGGGGUAAAGGCGCACCUAGGCGACGAUCCCUAGCUGGUCUGAGAGGAUGACCAGCCACACUGGAACUGAGACACGGACCAGACUCCUACGGGCGGCAGAAGGGGGGAAUAGUGCACAAUGGGCGCAAGCCUGAUGCAGCCAUGCCGCGUGUAUGAAGAAGGCCUUCGGGUUGUAAAGUACUUUCAGCGGGGAGGCGUUACCCGCAGAAGAAGCACCGGCUAACUCCGUGCCAGCAGCCGCGGUAAUUC
rnacentral:rRNA from 1 species